UAAGCAAGUUUUACUGGUUCCACAAUAUUGUGAGUAAACUUCACCAAUAAAACUACAAGUAACACAUUGAAUCAAACAUGCAAAUUGAAAUCGAUCUAAAAAGUAAAUAGCAUUUUCUUGUAACUCAUACCCCAAUAAUCAUAGUUUUAUUUACAACUUUGUUUUUGUUUGUUAUUUUUGAUUACUUUUAUAGUGUAUACAUGUUUCCCACUUUUUUCUUUGAAAUCGAAACACACACACGCACACACACACACACACACACACACACACACACACACACACACACACACACACACACACAUUGUGUUUCCAUGUUUUAUGGGGUCAUUCCAUAGGCAUAAUGGUUUUUAUACUGUACAAACUGUAUUUUAUUUCACCCUACACCUAAACCUAUCACUCACAGAAAACUUUCUGAAAUUUACUGGUAUUACUAUCCUUGUGGGGACAUUUGUGCCUCUAUAAUGUGAUAAAUACCAGGUACACACACACACACACACACACACACACACACACACACACACACACACACACACACACACACACACAUAUGCAAGUCAUGCAAGUAUGGAACUACUUGAGGCUGACGAAUGAUGGCACACAUUCCCUCAUCAAUAUGUGAAGAUACAGAGACUGAACAUAAAUAUGACAGUUUCAUUGUGAGAACAUGUUGAGAGCUUGUGUCCUUCAUUGCAUUCAAGGACACGCGUGCCAAGUGCGGCUCGUGUUAUUAAAUUAAAUAUUAAAUAUUAAAACCACAGGCCCUCAGGCUAUGACUGGCACCUAUAUCAUGUUUAGGAAGAGCGACAGGUUCUUUGUCUAACGGAAGCACACAGGUGAUUUUUUCAGUACUUCUGACAUCCUCUUUCUAUCUCUGGAACCUUCUCCAGCGUGGAAAGAACAUGCUUUCUAACAAAGCACACAGACCUCUGAAUAACUGCUUUGUUAGUUUAGUGCUUUCAUUUCUGCAUGUCCGAGCAUCUGUAAUCUGUUGUAGUGGUUUAUGUUCUGGCGCUGAAUUAUCCAGAUGCAUGCACAA
ensembl:lncRNA